rnacentral:lncRNA from 1 species
CUGUCAGUCCCGCGCCCGCCGCCGCGCCACGGCUCCUCGCAUGCCGUGGCCCGGGUGGCUGCCAGCGCUGCCGCCCGCCGCCCGCCACCCCGGCAUCCCAAGCCGCCUCCCGCCGCCCCGGCCCGGCGCGCAGGGCUGCUGACCACCAGCAGCACGGACCUCUGGAGGCCAAAACAGGCCUGACAGUCACAGAUGUGUUUGCCAUCUCAUCUUUAUGUGAGUGGAGUAAGGAAAGAUGAAAGCCACAGAAUGAGACCUUUCUGGACAUGACUGUACAGGAGCCCAG